rnacentral:hammerhead_ribozyme from 1 species
AGCCGAAACCCGGGUGCAAGCCCGGGUUCGGGCCGGAGCGGCCACCGGUCCGCUGAUGAGGCAGGCCACA